GAUGAACGCUGGCGGCGUGCCUAAUACAUGCAAGUCGAGCGAACGGACGAGAAGCUUGCUUCUCUGAUGUUAGCGGCGGACGGGUGAGUAACACGUGGAUAACCUACCUAUAAGACUGGGAUAACUUCGGGAAACCGGAGCUAAUACCGGAUAAUAUUUUGAACCGCAUGGUUCAAAAGUGAAAGACGGUCUUGCUGUCACUUAUAGAUGGAUCCGCGCUGCAUUAGCUAGUUGGUAAGGUAACGGCCUACCAAGGCAACGAUGCAUAGCCGACCGGAGAGGAGGAUCAGCCGCAUGUGAACGGACACCGGGGCCUGACGACUACGGGAGGCAGCAGUGUGGCAUAUGGGACAAUGGUCUCAAACUUGACACAAGCAUACCGAGGGGAAGAAGAAGGGCGUCGGGUCGUAAAGCCCUUUUAUCGGGGAAAAACAGCAGCAGGCCAAUACCCCGCGGUCCGGACGCCACCCAAAGAAGAAGCACCGGCGAACCACGUG
rnacentral:rRNA from 1 species